ensembl:lincRNA
UGAAUAUGUCAACCCCACCAAUUCUCCAGUGGCUGGGUAACUUCCAGAGUUAAUGUCCAUCAUUCUUUUUGAACUGGGGCAGCCCUCAUCUGGAAUUUGUUUCCAAGUUAUACUAAGGAAUGUGUAUGUUCUAUUUGUUCUGAGUCUCAAAUCAAGGGUUUGGAAGCCCCCAGAAUCAUUGUUGGAGCACUGUGCCAUGGAGCACCUUGAAGAUCCACUUCCAGCUGUGGACUCUUCCAGGAAAGAAGAAAUGAGAAAACAUCACCUUUUCUCCACACCCACCCUCAACUCCCACUUCUGUACUAUAGAAGCAAAAUUGAUUAGGCUGGCUAAUUUGAAGAGAAAAAGAUGAUAGGGGCUUUGUGCUUUAGAGGUAGAAGAGGGUAAUAGUCAGGUUCACUCUGACAAAGCCCACUAGAGAUGGUAGACCCACUGGUAGAAAUGGCUACCUGGAUACCCAAGGAGAGCAUUAAUCAUCCCAUCCCAUAUCUGAG